rnacentral:rRNA from 1 species
CCUACGGGAGGCAGCAGUGGGGAAUUUUGGACAAUGGGCGAAAGCCUGAUCCAGCAAUGCCGCGUGCAGGAUGAAGGCCUUCGGGUUGUAAACUGCUUUUGUACGGAACGAAACGGUUCGCCUUAAUACGGUGGGCUAAUGACGGUACCGUAAGAAUAAGCACCGGCUAACUACGUGCCAGCAGCCGCGGUAAUACGUAGGGUGCGAGCGUUAAUCGGAAUUACUGGGCGUAAAGCGUGCGCAGGCGGUUAUAUAAGACAGAUGUGAAAUCCCCGGGCUCAACCUGGGACCUGCAUUUGUGACUGUAUAGCUAGAGUACGGUAGAGGGGGGUGGAAUUCCGCGUGUAGCAGUGAAAUGCGUAGAUAUGCGGAGGAACACCGAUGGCGAAGGCAAUCCCCUGGACCUGUACUGACGCUCAUGCACGAAAGCGUGGGGAGCAAACAGGAUUAGAUACCCUGGUAGUCCACGCCCUAAACGAUGUCAACUGGUUGUUGGGUCUUCACUGACUCAGUAACGAAGCUAACGCGUGAAGUUGACCGCCUGGGGGAGGACGGCCGCGAGUAGUUAACGUUACGUAAUUAGAGUUAGAGGCGNGNGAGNGCGAGGACGACGACGAGGGAGGAGG